rnacentral:rRNA from 1 species
AGCUCCAAUAGGAUAUAUCAAAGUUGUUGCAGUUGAAAAGCUCGUAGUCGUAUUUCUGGUGGGUUGAUGCUCGCGAUGUGUUGGACGAAAGUCUGAUGUUUCCCGGGCCGCCUGCCAUUUUGUGGGCCAACGUGGCGGGGAUGUGGUUUACUCCAUGCCCUCGUCGCGCCACUCCGUCACUGAGAGCAAAUUGGAGUGCUCAAAGCAGGCUUUACAGCUUUGAACAUCUUAGCUUGGAAUGACAAAGUAUGACUUUUUGUUCACUUUGUUGGUUAUGAACGAGAAGUAAUGAUAAAUAGGAACAGUUGCGGGGGUACUCGUACUGGAAAGUCAGAGGUGAAAUUCUUGGAUUUUUCCAUGACGAACGACUGCGAAAGCAUUUACCAAGGAUGUUUUCAUUG